GCGGUGGAUGAUGUGAUUAAUUCGAUGCAACGCGAAAACCUUACCUACCUUGACAUGUCCGGAGUCCGAAGAGAUUUGGGAGUGCUCGCAAGAGAACCGGAACACAGGUGCUGCAUGGCUGUCGUCAGCUCGUGUCGUGAGAUGUUGGGUUAAGUCCCGCAACGAGCGCAACCCUUGUCAUUAGUUGCCAUCAUUUGGUUGGGCACUCUAAUGAGACUGCCGGUGACAAACCGGAGGAAGGUGGGGAUGACGUCAAGUCCUCAUGGCCCUUAUGGGUAGGGCUUCACACGUCAUACAAUGGUCGGUACAGAGGGUUGCCAACCCGCGAGGGGGAGCUAAUCCCACAAAGCCGAUCGUAGUCCGGAUCGCAGUCUGCAACUCGACUGCGUGAAGUCGGAAUCGCUAGUAAUCGUGGAUCAGCAUGUCACGGUGAAUACGUUCCCGGGUCUU
rnacentral:rRNA from 1 species